CUAUAUUUGAUGUCCAGUCUCCUCUACUUACACUUUCUGCUCUAGACUUGCCGACCUCAAGCCUCUCCUUCAAAGUGUGUCCUCUGUAACUACAAUCUCUUGAACUCCACCCCACUAAAAUCCCACCACCCUGAAGGCUAGACGUGAUGCCCAAUCUAUCCCAGAAAGGUGUGUUAAUCUCGCUCCUGGGAAUCCAACAAUUAGACGUGAGGCCCAAUCUAUCCCAGAAAGGUGUGUUAAUCUC
rnacentral:lncRNA from 1 species